GGAGGCAUAGCUCAGCUGGCUAGAGUGUCUGCUUGACGUGCAGAAGGUCGGGGGUUCGAACCCCUCUGCCCCCACCA
rnacentral:tRNA from 1 species